AUUAAAUAGCUGCAGUAUUUUAACUGUACUAAGGUAGCAUAAUAAUUAGUCUUUUAAUUGAGGUCUGGAAUGAAUGGUUUGACAAGAAAAUAACUUUAUUAAUUAAUCUUUUUUCAAUUUUAUUUUUUAGUUAAAAAGCUAAAAUUUUUAAAUGGGACGAUAAGACCCUAUAGAUCUUAAAAUUUUUUAUAUUUAAAUUAAUUUUAUGGAUUAAUUUAGAUUUUGUUUGGGAAAAUUUUUUGUUGGGGUGAUGUAUAAACUUUUAAAACUUUAAAAUUUUCUUACAUUUAUAGAUGUAUAAAUGAUCCAAAUUUUUUGAUUAUUAAAAUAAGAUACCUUAGGGAUAACAGCGUAAUAAAUUUGUAUAGUACACAUAAAUAAAUUUGUUUACGACCUCGAUGUUGAAUUAAUAUUAAUUUUUGGAGCAGAAGCUAGAAUUUUGGGUCUGUUCGACCUUUUAAAUAUUACA
rnacentral:rRNA from 1 species